CCUACGGGUGGCUGCAGUGGGGAAUAUUGCACAAUGGGCGCAAGCCUGAUGCAGCCAUGCCGCGUGUGUGAAGAAGGCCUUCGGGUUGUAAAGCACUUUCAGCGGGGAGGAAGGCGUUAAGGUUAAUAACCUUGGCGAUUGACGUUACCCGCAGAAGAAGCACCGGCUAACUCCGUGCCAGCAGCCGCGGUAAUACGGAGGGUGCAAGCGUUAAUCGGAAUUACUGGGCGUAAAGCGCACGCAGGCGGUCUGUCAAGUCGGAUGUGAAAUCCCCGGGCUCAACCUGGGAACUGCAUUCGAAACUGGCAGGCUAGAGUCUUGUAGAGGGGGGUAGAAUUCCAGGUGUAGCGGUGAAAUGCGUAGAGAUCUGGAGGAAUACCGGUGGCGAAGGCGGCCCCCUGGACAAAGACUGACGCUCAGGAGCGAAAGCGUGGGGAGCGAACAGGAUUAGAUACCCGGGUAGUC
rnacentral:rRNA from 1 species